UUCUAAUCAUGAAAGUCUUGGGAAUUAUCCAAUUGUAUUUGAUCGUAGUGCUGGCUCUAAGCAAUGCUAGCGCCGAUAAAGAAAAAUGGACAGCACGUAUUGGACCCAAAAUCUUGAGAUAGAUAGAUGCGUCAAUAUGUUCGAUGCUAAACAAAUACACUAACUAUUUCUGGAGCAAAACUUGAUGAAAGUUCGUGAAACUGAUGAUGAUGAAUAUACUUGAUAAUUAAACACAAUUUCCAAAUUAGUAAAAGAAAUGUAAAAUGUCAAAAUUUAGUUUAUUAUCAUUGCUUAUGUACAAGUAUGUAGUAUACGUAGUAGGCAAAUAAACAUUUGAUAUUGACAUUGAA